AACAAUUUCCCCCUUUUUGAUAAUGGCAAACCAAUAUCGGGAUAUGCAUAAGAUAAGUAUAAUUUCCCCCAUAAGUAUAAGUUCCCCCUCAAUUUAUGCCAAUAUGAAUUAGUAUGCAUAGCCCUUAUUCUUCCCCCUUUUGACAUUAGCAAAAAUAAUGACCUUUCAUUAAAAAUAUUAAACAUACAUGAGAAAGCAAGAAAAAUAGACAGAAUAUAAUUC
rnacentral:lncRNA from 1 species